AUGUUCUGAGAGCCUGCUGGGCUUAACAACAAAGGACUCUGGGAGCGAGACGAGGAACCAGAUGAUGUACUAUCCAGGUAGCGGCCUCCUUUGGAAUGGCAAGAAAGAACAAAAACACAAAAUAGAGAAAGGUGUCUCUGUCCUCGGGACCAGCUGUCCUGCCAACAGCACAGCAAGAACAACUGUCAUCACCAGGCUGAGGAACAUCAUACAGGACAGGACAAAAAGAAUGUGGAUGUCAUAUUCCUGUGCCAGACGCAGAAAAAUGGCUACAAGCAUGAAAGAGAUCGAGACACCUUCAGUAUGUACUUAGUUGUAAGUAAACUUACAGAAGGAUAGGAUACAUCAGUCACUCACAUCAGUCAAAUAAUCCCCUGUACCAAACAGAACACAGACGAUGCUGCUCUGAAUAUUGAAGGACAUGGCAAUUCAGGGUGAUAAUCAGGCAAGCCAUAAAACACAGUGAAAACUCCAGUUAAGUCUGCGUGACGUGUUUCAUGACUGAAAUGCUCCUCAGUAAUGGUCAGGUUCCUUCCUUCCUCAGGUUAUGAGAAAGUCUUCAAGUGAUGCUUUUAAUUAGAUUAUUAUUGUAAUAUUGCAGGUUUUUAGGUGCAGUCACUGGGAAUUAAAAGAAAAUAUGAAAUCUCAGUCACUGAGCAGUAGUGAUGUGAGCUGCUCUGUGAAAAGAUUAGUUUCCAGUUUCUUGUCUGCAACAUGUCAUUUAAUUUGAUAUUUCUGUAUAUUUUGUAAUUGCAUUAACGCACAAAUAGCUGCUGCACCUGAUUUAUUACUAACCAAAAACACAAAUUAAAAGAUUUAUUCAGUAUAAAAGGUAUUACAUAAUGCAACAACCUGUUAUUUUUCACAUGGUUUCACCUUUCUGUUUCACACAGCAGCUCCAGUCCAGUGAUAUGAUUGAAGCAGCCAGUAAUAUUACUUACAAAGUAGGCCUUUAUAGUAGCCUAUUUGUAUCUAUUUGCAUAAAUAAUCUCAUAAAAGAAGUUUAAAAGUUUAACCAAAAACCUCAUAGCCAGUGCAGCCAGUGAGGGUAACCGUAUAUAGUACAUCUCGUCACAGGAUGAGGGCCUUAGUGCUAGAGGGUUGCAGUGCACGGUGUAGUCCCUCAUUCGUCCAGGAGUGUUCCAUCGUAGAAAAGGAAAUAUGGAUUUUCUGGUUUCAGUAAUUGACAAGGAAGACAAUAAACUCAAAUCCAGGCUUCAAAACCUCCCUGCUGAAACCGGCUGGCUGACAUCACACACACUUUAAGCUUCAUGUGAUAAGCUAGAAAUAAUAGAAUAAUUAACACAGGCGCACUGCAAAGUUGCGUCUUAUGGUUUAUACACUUUGUACACAAACAAAAGCAAGUCCUCUCAGCCAAAUCUUUUUUUUUUUUUUUUUUUUUAAAUAUGCAGAUGACACAGCUUUGGUGUUAUUUUUUAUCUGAUUUUAAAUCUGUAGUGCAUUUUGAGAAAAGGAUAGACAAUUUUACUUGAUGGUGUAAAGAUAACUAAAGAAAGUGGCUGAUUUUAAAUGCAUUCAGUCUGAUGCCCCCUUGACUCGGUGAAACAGCUGAAAGAGUCUCAAGCCUUAAAUACCUAGGCAUCUGAGGAUGACUAUCUUGCCUUCAUCAAGGCACGACAGCUGAAAUGUUUGGUGAAUAAAGCACGGUGUACUGGAGAAGAGUCGUGUGAUGUGUUUUCAUGUGUAAUAGUAACAAAAACUACAGCGCGUUAUGAAGACCUCGAUCAUCCGACAGACGGCAUUGUAAUGACCUCAUUUUAAAUAGAUCCACGGCAUCUUAUGACCAAACUCCCCCCUUUGGAUGGGAGGGGGGGGGUUUCAUGGAGGUUGGGUAGUUAGGGUGAGGCUAGCCAUUAGCGAGGGAGAUAACAUAGGACACAGCACCCUGAGCUGAUGAUUUACAGCUUUUUUGGUAUGGGUCCUUUUAUGGAAUAUCUGUUGUUUUACUUUUCUUCUUUGGAUGGUAGUUACAUUUUAAUUGAAGUAAUAAAAGAAAGCCUGGGACAUCAUGACAAGCAACGUACCCUCGGGGGG